UACGUAGGGUGCAAGCGUUGUCCGGAAUUAUUGGGCGUAAAGAGCUCGUAGGCGGUCUGUCGCGUCGGUCGUGAAAACUUGGGGCUUAACCCUGAGCUUGCGGUCGAUACGGGCAUGACUGGAGUUCGGCAGGGGAGACUGGAAUUCCUGGUGUAGCGGUGAAAUGCGCAGAUAUCAGGAGGAACACCGGUGGCGAAGGCGGGUCUCUGGGCCGAUACUGACACUGAGGAGCGAAAGCGUGGGGAGCGAACAGG
rnacentral:rRNA from 1 species